UACAGAGGGGGCCAGCGUUAUUCGGAAUUACUGGGCGUAAAGGGCGCGUAGGCGGACAGUUUAGUCAGAGGUGAAAGCCCAGGGCUCAACCUUGGAAUUGCCUUUGAUACUGGCUGUCUUGAGUACGGGAGAGGUGUGUGGAACUCCGAGUGUAGAGGUGAAAUUCGUAGAUAUUCGGAAGAACACCAGUGGCGAAGGCGACACACUGGCCCGUUACUGACGCUGAGGCGCGAAAGCGUGGGGAGCAAACAGG
rnacentral:rRNA from 1 species